rnacentral:rRNA from 1 species
AAUUGGAGGGCAAGUCUGGUGCCAGCAGCCGCGGUAAUUCCAGCUCCAAUAGCGUAUAUUAAAGUUGUUGCAGUUAAAAAGCUCGUAGUUGAACUUUGGGCCUGGUUGGCCGGUCCGAUUUUUUCGUGUACUGGAUUCCAACCGGGCCUUUCCUUCUGGCUAACCUUGGUCCUUGUGGCUCUUGGCGAACCGAUUUUUACUUUGAAAAAUUAGAGUGUUCAGCAGCGUAUUGCUCGAUAUAUAGCAUGAAUAUAGAUAGACGUUUGGUCUAUUUUGUGGUUUCUAGACAUCGUAUGAUAUAGGACGGUCGGGGGCAUCAGUAUUCAAUUGUCAGAGGUGAAAUUCUUGGAUUUAUUGAAGACUAACUACUGCGAAAGCAUUUGCCAAGGACGUUUUCAUUAAUCAAGAACGAAAGUUAGGGGAUCGAAGAUGAUCAGAUACCGUCGUAGUUUAACCAUAAACUAUCCGACUAGGGAUCGGGUGGUGUUUUUUUAAUGACCCACUCGGC